rnacentral:rRNA from 1 species
AUUGAACGCUGGCGGCAUGCUUUACACAUGCAAGUCGAACGGUAACAGGCCGCAAGGUGCUGACGAGUGGCGCACGGGUGUGUAAUGCAUCGGAACGUGCCCAGUCGUGGGGGGUAACUACUCGGAAGAGUAGCUAAUACCACAUACGAUCUAUGGAUGAAAGCGGGGGACCGUAAGGCCUCGCGCGAUUGGAGCGGACGAUGUCAGAUUAGGUAGUUGGUGGGGUAAAGGCUCACCACGCCAACGAUCUGUAGCUGGUCUGAGAGGACGAGCAGCCACACUGGGACUGAGACACGGCCCAGACUCCUACGGGAGGCAGCAGUGGGGAAUUGUGGACAAUGGGCGCAAGCCUGAUCCAGCAAUGCCGCGUGCAGGAAGAAGGCCUUCGGGUUGUAAACUGCUUUUGUACGGAACGAAACGGCUCUGGUUAAUACCCGGGGCUAAUGACGGUACCGUAAGAAUAAGCACCGGCUAACUACGUG